AUUGAAGUAUCCUAAUAAAUUUCAUAUCAUAUAACAUCCGACACUAUUUGAAAAGUAAACAAUACAAAAAUAUUUUACUCGCUAACAUCCAACUCCCCAAAAUUUUGUAGUGACUCCCAUGUUUAGUUUCCUCCAUGUAGUUCUUCCAUUUUCUGUCAUGAAGAAUUGAAAAAAAUCAGUAUAUUGUACUUAAUACUACAAAGAAAGAGAUAGAGAACGAUUAAGUAAAUCAAUUGAUUCAUUCAAUUUGAAGAAAAAAAAUUAAACUUAGAAUAUAGAGAUGCGGAUUGAAUGCUUACCGAUACUCUAAAACAUAACCACUUUAUCUGUUGGCCAUGCUACUGUAGUGCCUAUGGC
rnacentral:lncRNA from 1 species